rnacentral:rRNA from 1 species
GCUGGCGGCGUGCUUAACACAUGCAAGUCGAGUGCGCGUCCGUAGCAAUACGGAUGGCGCACGGCGCACGGGUGCGUAACACGUGGGCAAUCUGCCCUCCGAUGGGGAAUAACCCCGCGAAAGCGGGGCUAAUACCGCAUAACAUUCCGGGGACUUCGGUUCCUGGAUUCAAAGGCGUAAGUCGUCGGAGGUGGAGCCCGCGCCCGAUUAGCUAGUUGGUGAGGUAACGGCUCACCAAGGCAAUGAUCGGUAGCUGGUCUGAGAGGAUGGCCAGCCACACUGGAACUGAGACACGGUCCAGACUCCUACGGGAGGCAGCAGUGGGGAAUCUUGCGCAAUGGGCGAAAGCCUGACGCAGCGACGCCGCGUGGGGGAUGAAGCAUCUCGGUGUGUAAACCCCUUUCGACUGGGACGAAUGCCUCGCAAGAGGAGUGACGGUACCAGUAGAAGAAGCCCCGGCUAACUACGUGCCAGCAGCCGCGGUAAGACGUAGGGGGCCAGCGUUGUUCGGAAUUACU